rnacentral:rRNA from 1 species
AACGAACGCUGGCGGCAUGCCUAACACAUGCAAGUCGAACGAGACCUUCGGGUCUAGUGGCGCACGGGUGCGUAACGCGUGGGAAUCUACCCUUGGGUUCGGAAUAACAGUUAGAAAUGACUGCUAAUACCGGAUGACGACGUAAGUCCAAAGAUUUAUCGCCCAAGGAUGAGCCCGCGUAAGAUUAGCUUGUUGGGGGGGUAAUGGCCUACCAAGGCGACGAUCUUUAGCUGGUCUGAGAGGGUGAUCAGCCACACUGGGACUGAGACACGGCCCAGACUCCUACGGGAGGCAGCAGUGGGGAAUAUUGGACAAUGGGCGAAAGCCUGAUCCAGCAAUGCCGCGUGAGUGAUGAAGGCCUUAGGGUUGUAAAGCUCUUUUACCAGGGAUGAUAAUGACAGUACCUGGAGAAUAAGCUCCGGCUAACUCCGUGCCAGCAGCCGCAGUAA